AGUUUUAAUAAGAUAGAUGUGGGCAUUAAAUGGGAAGAGGUGCGUGAGUAAUGAAGAUACCCGAGUAGUUCAACUGUUCAAGUAACCUUUUUGACUAAAGUGGAAAGCAUUGCGUGAAAAACAAUCUGUAACCGUCAACUGUGACUUAACUACAAAAUUAAAAGAAAAAAAAAAAGAACAAAGAGAAGAAGAAGAAUUGAAACGUAAAAAGGGUUUCCCCGUGCCAAAAGAGUAAAAAAUAUGAGGCAAAGAAUCUGAUGAUUACAAACUCAUAUAUCUUUGAUGAAAUCAUUUAUAUAUUUGAGACAUUGGGUGCGAAGAAGUUGGCCUAUUUGAAACCUUGAACUCUUUCUUGGUUGAGGUUGAUGUUACACAUGGGCUUGCCCCAUCUCACCGUUACGAUUGGACUUUUUAAGUGGAAUAAGGAUCUGUUUUUGGGUUUAACAUGAGACAAUAGGUAGGCCUUCUUCAAGUGUACCAUAUUUAUCGGAUUGGCUUCAACCUCAUUGCAAUCAGCCGAUACGCCAUGGGACCAUCUUAAGCGCUGAAAUAGAUUCUUUUCGGGGAAAACAAAUCUUGCUGGGAAUAUAGGUCAUUCAAAACAUCUUUUUUAAUAUCAGGAGAUUCGAGGCCUACACUCGUAAUUUUCACAAACUCGAAACCACAAUAAAUAAUAUUAGUUUCGUCAAAGCCGUCACUCGAACUAAAGUUCGAACCUUUGACAUAUUGACAAAAUUCAUUUCCAAUUUAGAUAUGACCACUGGUUAACUAUUCACUUAUUAAUUAUUAUGCAAGACCAUUUUUUCAAAGAAGCUUUAUCAAUCUCAAAAUGAAAUAUGACUGUUUUCUAAAGUUGUGUGCGGUAACAAGUCUUGAAUAAUGACAAUGACAUACAAUAGUCUUAUGAUAUGUUACGUUUCAACCACCAAGAUUUAGAGCAUCUCCAACUCAUUGCCAUUUUCACUUCUAUAAUAGCAUUUAGAGGUGAAAUUGCUCCAACCCAACUCUAUUUCUUCCUCUAUAAUAGAGAUCUCUAUUUUUUCCUCAAUUUAUAGAGGAAGAAGUAGUAUUCCUCUAUUUUUUACUCUAUAUUUUAGAGAUUACUAUUUUAGGGGAAUACAUUGGAGCAUAUCUCAUCUCUAUUAUAGAGCUUCGCUAUUUUAGAGGUGAAAAUAGUAAAAUACAUUGGAGAUGGUUUAGUGAUGUUUGGUUUGAGAGCCGUUGAUCGAGGUGGAGGGACAAUUACGUUGGUAGAAUACAUAUCUACCAUGUUGCCAUACAAAGACGAAAUCAUACAUAAGAAAGCCACGGUCGUAAGAAUACACAAUACCCAAUAAACACACUAAGUGUAUUUACAAUCAAAUACAUAGCAUGACAACAGAGCUGUCCUUCACAACAUUGACACACAAGAGUCAAAAUGCUUACUACCUGUUUCAGACAUUUCGACUUUACAUAAAUUACAUUAGCCCUUAGUACCAGACAUACAUUAUCUAAAUCAACAACCAAUCAUCAGCAUUCCCAAUGAUACCGAUGAUCCACAACAAACC